rnacentral:misc_RNA from 1 species
GUAUUGAUUGCGUGUGACCGCAAAAACAAAACAUUCUAGACUGUAUCGAAUUUUGUGUGAAAACGUGAGCCCUCCUGCAAAGGGGGGACCCGCGCGGUGAUGCACAAAGGGGUGAGAUGGAUUGUGUGAGAGCACUCAGGCGUGCACGACAAAGAAGUCAGCGACAGCCCUCGUGCCUCGGUUGUACGAUAAUGAUCCUUCCGCAGGUUCACCUACGGAAA